ensembl:lncRNA
CCGAGCCGUUAGUCGGUGAAUGAGGAAUAUAGUGGAUAUACUCCGUGUGUAUAUAUUUUUACAUACCGCGUGUACUGUAUGAUGGUGCGCAUGUUCCUGCAUGAUCCAUCAGUGUGUAGUGUAAUUUCUCCCCAGAGGACAAACGCGGCUCCGUCAGACGCUAGACGGCUCGGUUCGGAUCAGAUCAGAGGCGAACAAACCUUACGGUGUUCUACAGAAUUACGGCGUGGGCUUCUCCUCGGCCUCCGACGCACAGACGAUGCAGGUCUGGGGUCAUGAGAAUCAUGCUGCUGUAAUGAUGACUCCAUCAGCUCUGGCGAUAAUUGCAUGUCCAGUGCAGUUUGUAGCCGCGGUGAUCGUGUUGUAGAUCGGAUUUGCGUGUAAUUACGGGGUUUAACGACGCUGCUGUAAUCGUACAGAUCGGAUUUGGCGGUCGAUGAAGGUGUGGCGUGGUGUGUCAAAAGAGUGCUGCUUCUUUAAUACUACACUGAGGAGGAGAGUCCAGUAAUGUCAGUUCUGUCGCCUUUUCUUUGUUUGUUUAUCCGAGCUAUGCUGAUGUGGUCUGCGUGUACGCUAGUCACGAUACGCACGCUCAUUCGAUUCGAGUGAACAGGGAUGCGCGGUGAGUUCAGACAGGCUGCAUGGAGUACUCAAGUACCAGGUCUGGGGCCAGAUUGACGCUAAUCUGUUGAUUAUGUAGAUUAGAUUUAGCUGAAAGUUCAAGUCUGAGCACAGUCUUAUGUUGCUGUGGUUAUUAUGUCAAUUGGAUUAGACUGGAAGUUCAGGUCGAGGCUCAUUUUGAUGCUACUAUAGUGAUUAUGUAGAUUAGAUUUAGCUGGAAGUUCAGGUCUUGGGUCAGUCUGGUGCUGCUGUAGUGAUUAUGUAGAUUAGAUUUCUCUGAAGGUUCAGAUCUAGGGUCUGUAUGAUGCUGGAGUAGUGAUUAUGUAGAUUGGAUUUAGCAGAAAGUUUAGGUCUAGGGUCUGUCUGAUGCUGCUGUAGUGAUUAUGUAGAUUAGAUUUUGCAGAAAAUUCAGAUCUGGGGCCAGUCUGAUGCUGCUGUAAUAAUAAUGUAAGAUCAGAUUUAGCGGUGUAUGCCUACACACACACACACACACACACACACACACACACACACACACACACACACUGAUGGUCUAAUGGUUCCAUCUCCUUUCUGUGGUCAAUGUAGUAUUAUGGCUAUUAGUAAUAAAGCUGUGUGUGUGUGCGUGUGUGUGUGUGUUUGUGUGUGUGUGUGUGUGUGUGCGCGUGUGUGCGCGUGUGCGCGUGUGCGUGUGUGUGUGUGUGUGUGUGUGUGUGCGCGUGUGCCUUUUGGAAAACAUUUUCAGGUUUUCAGGAGUAUCACUGUGCUGUUUUUAUUGCAUUCCCAUGGCACCAAUUUAAAGCUAUUCUCCAUGGCAACUUGUGGAUGAAAAG